UACGUAGGUGGCAAGCGUUGUCCGGAAUUAUUGGGCGUAAAGCGCGCGCAGGUGGUUUCUAAAGUCUGAUGUGAAAGCCCACGGCUCAACCGUGGAGGGUCAUUGGAAACUGGGGAACUUGAGUGCAGAAGAGGAAAGUGGAAUUCCAAGUGUAGCGGUGAAAUGCGUAGAGAUUUGGAGGAACACCAGUGGCGAAGGCGACUUUCUGGUCUGUAACUGACACUGAGGCGCGAAAGCGUGGGGAGCGAACAGG
rnacentral:rRNA from 1 species